rnacentral:tRNA from 1 species
CUGGGUGUAGCUCAGGGGCAGAGCUCAUAAUUAAAAGGUAAGAAGCUCUGGGUUCGAUUCCUAGCACCCUAA